GUGGGGGAAGAAGAAAGACACAUUUAAUAAUAGAACAUUUUCCUAUUUGAUGCAGAUUCAUGCUGUUGUGAAGAAAUAUGACAUUCUUUUUAUAGCAGAUGAGGUAAUUUGUGCGUUUGGAAGGCUGGGCACAAUGUACGGGUGUGACAAGUACAACAUAAAACCAGACCUUGUGUCUCUUGCAAAGGCCCUUUCUUCUGCUUAUUUGCCCAUUGGAGCUGUACUUGUGAGCCCUGAAGUAUCAGAUGUCAUACAUUCUCAAAGCAGCGAACUUGGAAAAUUGGUUAACACUCCUAAAUAAGUAUCUUGAAUUAGUACUUAUUUAGUAUUCUAACCUGAUAUCCUUUCUCUCAGGUAGUUUUCUCGUGGAUUUACUUAUUCUGGACACCCCGUAUCUUGUGCAGUUGCAAUUGAAGCUCUUAAGAUCUACAAGGAAAGAAAUAUUGUUGAGCAAGUAAAGAGCAUUUCCCCUAAAUUUCAGAC